GGGGAGGCUAAAAAUGCAAGUCGAGCGAGCUUGCCUAGAUGAUUUUAGUGCUUGCACUAAAUGAAACUAGAUACAAGCGAUCGGCGGACGGGUGAGUAACACGUGGGUAACCUGCCCAACAGACUGGGAUAACACCUGGAAACAGAUGCUAAUACCGGAUAACAACACUAGACGCAUGUCUAGAGUUUGAAAGAUGGUUCUGCUAUCACUCUUGGAUGGACCUGCGGUGCAUUAGCUAGUUGGUAAGGUAACGGCUUACCAAGGCAAUGAUGCAUAGCCGAGUUGAGAGACUGAUCGGCCACAUUGGGACUGAGAUACGGCCCAGACUCCUACGGGAGGCAGCAGUCGGGAAUAUUGCGCAAUGGAGGAAACUCUGACGCAGUGACGCCGCGUAUAGGACGAAGGUCUUCGGAUUGUAAACUAUUGUCGUUAGGGAAGUGAAAGGACAGUACCUAAGGAGGAAGCUCCGGCUAACUACGUGCCAGCAGCCGCGGUAAUACGUAGGGAGCAAGCGUUAUCCGGAUUUAUUGGGUGUAAAGGGUGCGUAGACGGGAAAUUAAGUUAGUUGUGAAAUCCCUCGGCUCAACUGAGGAACUGCAACUAAAACUGGUUUUCUUGAGUGUUGGAGGGGAAAGCGGAAUUCCUAGUGUAGCGGUGAAAUGCGUAGAUAUUAGGAGGAACACCAGUGGCGAAGGCGGCUUACUGGACUGUAACUGACGUUGAGGCUCGAAAGCGUGNGGAGCAAACAGGAUUAGAUACCCUGGUAGUCCACGCCGUAAACGAUGAUCACUAGGUGUCGG
rnacentral:rRNA from 1 species